AAGUACAUUUUUAUAAUCAAGUAAAAGACAAAGGAGGAAAAUUAACAUGUACCGUCUGCUUCCAUUUAAACAUACCUGUGGUCAUGGCUUGGUUGGCAGAGAUACAAGCCAUGGUGACAGUGUGAGCAGGAGUCUUGUCAGAGAAGCCAGCUCCAAGGGCAGCCUUCAGGAAAUACAGUGAAUGAAAUGAUCACUCUAAGGGAAGGGCAUCAUGUAAAUGAUGCUUUGAACACUAAUCUUUAUGGUCAUCUGAAAAGGGUUUCAGUUUAAAAUUCUCCAGAGCAAUAUUUAAAAUAAAAUUAAGGCUAUCACAGAAAUGGUUUACUAAUAUUUAAUCAUGCCAUUAAUUGACAGGUAUAUGCAAAAUUCCUGCUGGCUGGUUUCUAGUGCAGACACGAGGCUAUAAUACUCUUCUAACUCACCUAAUUUCUUAUCGAUGCUUUGCUCAGGGCUUCAAGGAUAUCAAUAUAUAAUUUGAUUUUAACUUGUUUAAUGUUCAAAUAUACUUAAAGGAACCUAUUAAAGACAGUUGGUGAAAUGAUGAUGAAAUAUAUUAUGGGUUGGAGUCUUCACAAUCUGUGUUAUCAGGUCUCAUGAUCAGUCACAAAGCUUAGCAGCAAAGCAAAAGUGAUUAAACAUAAAAAUGAUUUCUAAAGAACUGACCAUUCAUAAACAGAGUUCCCACUCAAGACCCUAUUUGCUUUACACCUAUCUUUCUGCUCACGGCCAGCUGUUCUCUCUUACUGACCAUCUGAUACUUCGGUUAGCACACUGCAGACCCAAUGCAAAGAUGAACUGGAAAACUUGCCAACUAUACAGAAGCUCAACUCAAUGAAAGAAACUGGAGAAUUGCCUGAGUUACAAGUGAGCCUGUGAACAAGUAGGCCUGAUACUAAAUGCCCAACCUGCUUUGUUGAGAACGUCUGCCGGGCACCUGCGCAUCAGCCUCUCAGCAUAAACCAAUCCAAAAGGAAGAGAGACUCGACAGUGAUAGAAGUUAUUACCCUCACAACUAUACUGAACUCAACAAUAUGGCAAGCACAGACCGGAACUAGGGAAAAUGCUGAGCACAACGAAAUGUCUUUUGGUGCCAACUUCAUCCAAACAAUCGCUUUCAAAUUGAAACAGCCCAGAAGACGUGUUUGGACUUGCUGUAGGACACGUCCUAGAAGUUCCAAGGCCUGUCAUUAUCUUGGUUGCUCAAUCGACACUACAUGGAGCUAUGCCAACUAGGGCAAAAGUAAACUUCUGUGAAAUAGUUUUUAAAAAGCCAAACUGCCUUACGUGCCAUCUAGUCGAUGGGAACAAAUGAGUAAGCAAGGCUACUUCCAGCUAACAAAAACCAAGUUAUGAAAUUAGUUCUCUGCAAAAUGUUGAAAUUUUAAAUUAACUGGAAGCCAUGAUAUCUAACAUUACUAAAAAUACUAUCAGCCGCACUUUGCUGAUCUCUAUUUUCCUAACACAAGAGACAAUGUCCUAAACCAGCUCAAAAAAUUUAUUUGAUUUACAGUAAAGUAUGAAUAUACACUAAUAUAGUAUAUGUCACUUGAUUUAUAUUAGAAUUCUUUUACAUAUUGUGUAUGUCAUUUGAUUUAUAUUAGAAUUCUUUUACAUAUUAAAUAACACAUUACCCAAGCUGUAAAAUCACAUU